rnacentral:rRNA from 1 species
GAGUUUGAUCCUGGCUCAGGAUGAACGCUGGCGGCGUGCCUAAUACAUGCAAGUCGAACGAGUUCUCGUUGAUGAUCGGUGCUUUGCACCGAGAUUCAACAUGGAACGAGUGGCGGACGGGGUGAGUAACACGUGGGUAACCUGCCCUUAAGUGGGGGAUAACAUUUGGAAACAGAUGCUAAUACCGCAUAGAUCCAAGAACCGCAUGGUUCUUGGCUGAAAGAUGGCGUAAGCUAUCGCUUUUGGAUGGACCCGCGGCGUAUUAGCUAGUNGGUGAGGUAAUGGCUCACCAAGGCGAUGAUACGUAGCCGAACUGAGAGGUUGAUCGGCCACAUUGGGACUGAGACACGGCCCAAACUCCUACGGGAGGCAGCAGUAGGGAAUCUUCCACAAUGGACGCAAGUCUGAUGGAGCAACGCCGCGUGAGUGAAGAAGGCUUUCGGGUCGUAAAACUCUGUUGUUGGAGAAGAAUGGUCGGCAGAGUAACUGUUGUCGGCGUGACGGUAUCCAACCAGAAAGCCACGGCUAACUACGUGCCAGCAGCCGCGGUAAUACGUAGGUGGCAAGCGUUAUCCGGAUUUAUUGGGCGUAAAGCGAGCGCAGGCGGUUUUUUAAGUCUGAUGUGAAAGCCCUCGGCUUAACCGAGGAAGCGCAUCGGAAACUGGGAAACUUGAGUGCAGAAGAGGACAGUGGAACUCCAUGUGUAGCGGUGAAAUGCGUAGAUAUAUGGAAGAACACCAGUGGCGAAGGCGGCUGUCUGGUCUGUAACUGACGCUGAGGCUCGAAAGCAUGGGUAGCGAACAGGAUUAGAUACCCUGGUAGUCC